GGGUUUGCCGGUUCGGAUCCCAGGCUGGGACCUACGCAAUGCUCAUCAAGACAUGCAGUGACAGGCAUCCUACAUA